rnacentral:rRNA from 1 species
AGAGUUUGAUCCUGGCUCAGAAUCAACGCUGGCGGCGUGCCUAACACAUGCAAGUCGCACGAGAAAGGGACUUCGGUCCUGAGUACAGUGGCGCACGGGUGAGUAACACGUGAAUAAUCUACCUCCGAGUGGGGAAUAACUGAGAGAAAUCUUAGCUAAUACCGCAUAACACUUACGAGUCAAAGCAGCAAUGCGCUUGGAGAGGAGUUCGCGGCNGAUUAGUUAGUUGGCGGGGUAAUGGCCCACCGAGGCGACGAUGCNUAGCCGACCUGAGAGGGUGAUCGGCCACACUGGGACUGAGACACGGCCCAGACUCCUACGGGAGGCAGCAGUAGGGAAUCUUCCACAAUGGACGAAAGUCUGAUGGAGCAACGCCGCGUGAGCGAAGAANGUUUUCGGAUCGUAAAACUCUGUUGUGAGGGAAGAACAAGUUC